UACAGAGGUCUCAAGCGUUGUUCGGAUUCAUUGGGCGUAAAGGGUGCGUAGGCGGCGCGGUAAGUCGGGGUGUGAAAUCUCGGAGCUUAACUCCGAAAACUGCAUUCGAUACUGCCGUGCUUUGAGGACUGGAGAGGAGACUGGAAUUUACGGUGUAGCGGUGAAAAUGCGUAGAUAUCGUAAGGAAAGACCAGUGGCGAAAGGCGGGG
rnacentral:rRNA from 1 species